GGCUCGGUGGCGCUGGGGAGCGCGCCUGCCUCUGCUGCAUGGUCCAUGAUUCUGUAAUGCAGAAGGUGCCCGUUCGACUCGGGCCUGAGCCA